AUCAAUUAAGUUGAGUAAAUUAGUUGGAGAAAACUGCACAAAGGUUCGUUGGCAGUGUACUAGAAUUAAGCGCAAGUGUUAUAAUUGCGCAUAUACCGUUGAAAAUACUUACGAACAACGUUUCGGGAAGCCUAGAACAUCAAUAGGCUUCCAAGCAGCCAGGACGGAACAAUUGGAUUGCUACAGUGGAAAAUCUCAAAAAUCUAUAAGAGUCAUGAUCUUGCUGCUGUUGUCGUCGCCGUCGCCGUCGUCGCCGUCGUCGUCGUCGUUCGUCUAUGUUAACGCGGUUGAAUCCGAUGUUGUGUUGGAUGUAAUAUGCAUUUUCUAAUCUACUUAAAGCCGCACGUCGAGAAAACAGCGCUUGUAAUCGCCAUCCAGAAACCGUAACUCCAAGGCCCUCGUCUACAUGCUUAUUACGCACGCGGUUCAGAUAACAGUGGAUUAAAAUAAUUAAAAACUAUCCAUGAUGUGAACAUUUUGCAGACAUAAUCUGGCCAUGAUAGGACUAGUUGCAAAAACCGGGCGGACGAAUGGUAAACGCUAACGAAGAAACAGUGGUCAGAUCAGAACGAAGACCCUAUGCACAGAUUGGCUGUAGUCAAAGUAAAAUGCAGAAUAGUAAGUUAGAAUGAUUGUAUCGGGUUAUAUGGAUUAGAUGAGCUAUAUGGCAUCACAGGUUUAUCUUUGGCCAUAGAGAAUUUCUAAAUAGUGAUCGGUAGCAGUCCGAAUCGAAAGGACGAUCUUGCAGUUGAAAACACUUUCUAGUAAUGGUUACGAUGAAAGAUUCUAGGAUACCGUAUGAUGUACACUAGUGUGAAAAUCUAACAAAUAUAGCAGUGGAUCCUCCAA
rnacentral:lncRNA from 1 species